GAUAACCUCUGGGAAACUGGGGAUAAUACCCUAUAGGUUACAGAUGCUGGAAUGCUCUGUAACUCAAAGCUCCGGCGCCUUACGAUGGAUCUGCGGCCGAUUAGGUUGUUGUUGGGGUAACGGCCCAACAAGCCAGUAAUCGGUACGGGUUGUGGGAGCAAGAGCCCGGAGUUGGAUUCUGAGACACGAAUCCAGGCCCUACGGGGCGCAGCAGGCGCGAAAACUUUACAAUGCGGGCAACCGUGAUAAGGGAACCUCGAGUGCCUGUAUAUGCAGGCUGUCCAGGUGUCUAAAGCACACCUGAAGAAAGGGCCGGGCAAGACCGGUGCCAGCCGCCGCGGUAAUACCGGCGGCUCGAGUGGUGGCCACUUUUAUUGGGCUUAAAGCGUUCGUAGCUGGGUUGUUAAGUCUCUUGGGAGAUCCGACGGCUCAACCGUCGGGCGUCUAAGGGAUACUGGCAAUCUUGGAACCGGGAGAGGUGAGGGGUACUUCGGGGGUAGGAGUGAAAUCCUGUAAUCCUCGAGGGACCACCUGUGGCGAAGGCGCCUCACCAGAACGGCUUCGACAGUGAGGGACGAAAGCUGGGGGAGCAAACCGGAUUAGAUACCCGGGUAGUCCCAGCCGUAAGCGAUGCGCGUUAGGUGUAUCGACGACCACGAGUCGUCGAGGUGCCGAAAGAAACCGUGAAACGUGCCGCCUGGGAAGUACGGUCGCAAGGCUGAAACUUAAAGGAAUUGGCGGGGGAGCACCACAACAGGUGGAGCCUGCGGUUUUAUUUGGACUCAACGCCGGAAAUCUCACCGGAUAAGACAGCGGGAAUGAUUGCCGGGCUGAAGACUCUGCAUGACUAGCUGAAAGGAGGUGCAU
rnacentral:rRNA from 1 species